CCAACAACUUAUGUACCUAGAUGCACAUGUCUAUAUUUCUGAUUUGACCCAAAAACUUUUAUAUUGCUUAUUUAACACUUUGCCCAAUUGUUGCAGGGUUUCCCUCAUCAAACUACUGUAAAUUCUUGUGGCAUCUUAAUGUUGAUGGUAAAUUGCUUUUUAGUCUCUGAUUAAAGGUUUUUGGUUUUUUUUUAUUAUCUGAAAAUGAUAUAACCUCACAGAUCUUUGCCUUUUACACUUUACAGUAUGCACUCAGCCUGAGCAAAGAGGCUCCAUUUUGGUUCAUUGAGAGGGACAUGGCACGCAUCCGAAAAUGGUGGUGCAUUAGUCUAAUGGAACGGUUCCAGACUGACGGCCAUGGACAGAGGUUUGCAUACUGGACA